rnacentral:pre_miRNA from 1 species
AGAGGGAUAGCUGGGUCAAAUGGUGGUUCCAUUCCCAGAUUUCCAAGGAAUCUUUAUACUGCUUUCCGUAUUGGCUGUACCAAUUUGUAGUCCCACCAGCAAU